rnacentral:lncRNA from 1 species
AAACAUUUUAAAAAGCUCAAUUAAUGGCUCCCACUGCAGAAAACUGGAGAGAGGGGGCGAUAGCGCCUCGCAAAAGAAUCGAGGGUUGAAUAAAUUCUCGACAAUGGAAAGAGACUUUUUCGAUGAGGCCCCUUGUUCUUCUAUCGCAGUUGAUUCUAUAAUUCGCAUGGGCACUGUAAGAUCAGCUCUAUCUUCCCACACGCACAUUAACGAAGAUUCGUUCAUUUUACAAAAUUUGUUACCAAAACAAAUGUUGAAUUUCGAUGCAGGCCGGCGUAAUUUGGGGUUCCUGUGUCGGUCCGUUUGAUGCUAACAAAUUGGGUAAUUUAUUUGUUUAUUUGAUUAUACAUUAAUCGAGAGUGUCUAUUAAGUUUUAAAUUCUAUUAGGUCUCACUGGCAUCGCUCGUGCAUCUUUAGUAGUAAGUUCUGUUUAUUCCAUUUCAUUUAACUUCUGAAAUUUGAAUGGAUCGUUGUGCAAGUUUGUCACCGUUUUACCUGUCUGAUGAGAUUUAUCUGCUUUUUACUUUGAAUACAGGCUAAGUUGGUUGGUCAAUAUGGGCUUCAUUGGGGUAAGUGGUCAUAUGGAUAUUUUUUAGAGUUCUGAUUUAGUUAUUAAUUGAGCCAAUUUGGGUGCUUCAGUACUAUGCAAUUUCAUGCUUAAGCUUGAUAACUUUGAAGAAUUCUUUAGCUCUAAAGUGAAUUUUUUCCUACAACUUGCUUAUGUAUCGAAAUGAUUUUAUGAUAAUUGAAGAGUUGAACACAAAAUAACUUUUAUUUAAAUACAGAAACUCUUGUACACUUUGUUACGGAGCAUAUGUACACUACUCUGUUCUCUUAAUUUUAUUACAGCCUUGCUCCACUCGCACUGUCUCUAUUCUUCUCAUUCACACAUUACAUAUGCAAACCUCAUGUUUAUACAAGUUUACGUCUGUGGAAUUGGAUUAUUCCCUAUAUCUAGUACAUCCCAAAAUGGACAUGGACAGCAAACCCUUGGCAAUCUAGAAAACUUAAUAAAGGAGAAGGAAAAAGAGAUAAGAA